rnacentral:rRNA from 1 species
UACGUAGGGUGCAAGCGUUAAUCGGAAUUACUGGGCGUAAAGCGUGCGCAGGCGGUUUUGUAAGUCAGAUGUGAAAUCCCCGGGCUCAACCUGGGAACUGCGUUUGAAACUACAAGGCUAGAGUGUAGCAGAGGGGGGUAGAAUUCCACGUGUAGCAGUGAAAUGCGUAGAGAUGAUGGAGGAAUACCAAUGGCGAAGGCAGCCCCCUG